AGAGUUUGAUCCUGGCUCAGAACGAACGCUGGCGGCAGGCUUAACACAUGCAAGUCGAACGCCCCGCAAGGGGAGUGGCAGACGGGUGAGUAACGCGUGGGAAUCUACCGUACCCUACGGAAUAACGCAUGGAAACGUGUGCUAAUACCGUAUACGCCCUUCGGGGGAAAGAUUUAUCGGGGUAUGAUGAGCCCGCGUUGGAUUAGCUAGUUGGUGGGGUAAAGGCCUACCAAGGCGACGAUCCAUAGCUGGUCUGAGAGGAUGAUCAGCCACAUUGGGACUGAGACACGGCCCAAACUCCUACGGGAGGCAGCAGUGGGGAAUAUUGGACAAUGGGCGCAAGCCUGAUCCAGCCAUGCCGCGUGAGUGAUGAAGGUCUUAGGAUUGUAAAGCUCUUUCACCGAUGAAGAUAAUGACGGUAGUCGGAGAAGAAGCCCCGGCUAACUUCGUGCCAGCAGCCGCGGUAAUACGAAGGGGGCUAGCGUUGUUCGGGAUUACUGGGCGUAAAGCGCACGUAGGCGGAUAUUUAAGUCAGGGGUGAAAUCCCGCAGCUCAACUGCGGAACUGCCUUUGAUACUGGGUAUAUCGAGUAUGGAAGAGGUGAGUGGAAUUCCGAGUGUAGAGGUGAAAUUCGUAGAUAUUCGGAGGA
rnacentral:rRNA from 1 species